UGGGGAAUUUUGGACAAUGGACGCAAGUCUGAUCCAGCCAUGCCGCGUGCGGGAAGAAGGCCUUCGGGUUGUAAACCGCUUUUGUCAGGGAAGAAAUCUUCUGGGUUAAUACCUCGGGAGGAUGACGGUACCUGAAGAAUAAGCACCGGCUAACUACGUGUCAGCAGCUGCGGUAAUACGUAGGGUGCAAGCGUUAAUUGGAAUUACUGGGCGUAAAGCGUGCGCAGGCGGUUAUGCAAGACAGAUGUGAAAUCCCCGGGCUCAACCUGGGAACUGCAUUUGUGACUGCAUAGCUGGAGUGCGGCAGAGGGGGAUGGAAUUCCGCGUGUAGCAGUGAAAUGCGUAGAUCUGCGGAGGAACACCGAUGAAGAAGGCAAUCCCCUGGGCCUGCACUGACGCUCAUGCACGAAGGCGUGGGGAGCAAACA
rnacentral:rRNA from 1 species